CCAUAAUGAUAUGGGAACCAUUCCCAUAAUAUUAUAGGAAUAGUUCCCAUAUCAUUAUAAGAACUAUUCCCACAUCAUUAUGGGAACAAUUCCCAUAUCAUUAUAGGAACUAUUCCCACAUCAUUAUGGGAACAAUU